CUCUGUAGUUGGUACGUAGAAAGCUUAACUCUUACUAUUACAAUCCGAGUUAAUCAUCGUUCAUUUAAAAAGCAAUCUUACUAAUCCUCCCAUUUGCGCUCUCUUCACAGCCUCCUCUUCUCAACAUGAGGGCUAAGUGGAGGAAGAAGCGCAUGCGCAGGCUGAAGCGCAAAAGGCGAAAGAUGAGGCAGAGGUCCAAGUAACCUGUCCUCUCCGCCAUGGCUGUGACAGCACAUGUUGCCAACAACCAGACCGGUGAGCUCAACUGGAGACCCAGGACCAUGCCGGUGUCAAGUCUGACGGCCAGUGGCACCCACACCAACCUGAGGCCGCAGAUUGAUGCUGGAGAGCGGAUUCAAGACCUGCUGGAUGACGGGCUUUUCUCUGGGACCCCUCGGGACUCUUUGUUCUUAAUUCCUCAACUUUUGUCAUUUGUUCUUGUUCAUAAUUUGAUUAAAGUUUUUGGUUUAGAAAAUGGCAAA